UCUCUCUCUGUCUCAAAAAUAAAUAAACAUCAAAAAAAAUUAAAAAUAUAUAUAUAAGUGAGGUAAUUUUACUCCUCUGUUGAAAACCUUCUAAUAGUUUUCCAUCUUUUCUCAGAGUAUGAGCAAAAGCCAAAACCCUUACAAUGGCCUAUAAAGCACAAUGCAUUCCAGUCUCUUGUUAUCUUUCUGAUACCAUCUCUUACACUCUCCUCAUAUUCUCUUCAUUCCAACCAGUGGUCUCCUUGCUGUUACUCAAAUCCACCAGCCCUUGUCCAUCCCAGCGCCUGGCAUCCUCACCUCCUACGAAUUCUUCUUAAAAUUUAGCUUCUCAGUAAGGUUUUUCUCUGGACAGCCUAUUUAAAAUCACAACCUUCCUUCCCUUCCCCUCCACUCUUUUUCCAAUCUGCCUUCCCUGCUUUAUUUUUCUCUAUACAACUCUUGACCAUUUGAUACACUACCUAUAAACUAAAUAUUUAGUUUAUAUUGAAAUAUAAUAUACACACAGAAAAGUAUAUGUAAGUGUUCAGCUCAAUUAAUUUUCACAAACUGAAUGCAAUCAUGUAACUAGCACCCAGACCAAGAAACAGAAUAUUACCAACACCUGUAGAUUUUCCUCAUGCUCCCUCCUAGCCACUGUGCCCUCUUCACACUCUAAGGGUAAGCACGACUCUAACUUCUGACAGCAUAGAUCAAUUUUGCUUGUGUUUGUAUUUCAUAUAAAUGGACCCAUACAGUGACAUACUACAUAUUUUAAUGAUCUGUUUAUUUACUGCCUAUUUUACCCAACUACUAGCAUGUAAGUUCCAAGACAGAAGGAAUUCGUUUUGUUUAUUUCUGUAUACCCAAUGCCUAAAAGAGGAUCUGGCACAGAGUUGUAGCCCAACAAAUAUUUGAUGAAUGAAUGAAAUAUUGAACAAAUAGAAAUGAGAGUAGGAGAUUUAGGAAAGGCUUAACGUCUGAGCCAAAUCCUUCAGGAUGAUUAGGAGUCCAUGAAGCAGUUCCAAAAAAGAAAGGCAACCUAAGCAUAGGCAGGGCCUCUGUGGUGGCUUGGCAGAAUGAAAAAAUAAGCACAGUCUAGAACCAUGAGAAGUCAGUUAGCUGAAAGUAACGGCAAUAGCCAUGUGUUGAAAAACAGUGAGUUAUGAGGGUGGAAAAAUAGGCAGAUGCCCGAUCUCAAAGGGCUUUAUAUAAAUAAGUCCAUGCACAGAGUUAGAAAGGAAGAAAAGUAAAAUAUAGGGGACUCUAGGCACUUCCAGGACACCAGGCAUUUUUAGGUGUUGACCUUUUGGAGCAUUUCAGAGGACAUGAAACAGGAAUUUCCUUGAAGUCAACUUAUUAAUAACUUUUUGUAGUGACUCAAAAAAGAGUCUGUGGCCCCUAUGGUAAUGGUGAGAGACCUCUAACUACUUCUGAAUAUGUGAGAAAGGCUUCUGAAUAUGUGAGAAUAAUCUGAGGAAUAAGUAACCUCCAUUUUUUUUUCCUUUAAAGGAAUGGACAACGCAAAAUAAAUCUCUGAGUCUGUCUAAUUAUCUUUGUUUUACCGGAAUGGGGCAAGGAGCCAGGAGCUCUGCUUUCCUCACCUGCUGCCCAUGACUUUGAGGAGAUGGCACCCCCAUCUCAUGGGGAGGGAUAAGCCAGAGAUGCUGUCUCACCUACCACUGCUGUAUUUACUUUUGGAAUCUUCCCCUCUCCAGGGGUUCAUUGCAGACCCUCUGCUGACCUCAGACACCCUGCUGGAGUCACAGAAGAUAACAAAUGAUUUUCACCACCACCUUCUUAUCUCUACCAGCACUUGCCCUGGAGGGAUUCUACUAUGCCUCCCUCCACCCACAGGAGGUCUCUGGUGAGAAGAAGACCACUCUCCUAUAAUCCUGAGAAGGGCUCAGAACAACACUUCAGAGCUGGUCUGCCAGUGGAACUGCUGCCUCUGCCAUAUCAGGAAGCUGGUAAAUCAGGAAGUCAUCACGGCAAGUACUGACUCCAGAGCCAAACCGCACCUGCUAGAUUCACACGGACAAAAGAAAGGAUGCCUCGUGCAAUAUCACCUCUCUCCCCAUUCAAAUCAAUUGGUGAUUCAAUCUGUGAGCAAAUGUAUCUGAUUAGCAGAGUUUAUGUCAUUCCCAGAACCCAAACUGUAAAGCAAUCUUAGAAAUGUAGUUUUUUUUUUUUGUUUGUUUGUUUCUUUCUUUGUUUUACUCUCUAGCC